rnacentral:rRNA from 1 species
UACGUAGGGGGCAAGCGUUGUCCGGAUUUAUUGGGCGUAAAGAGCGUGUAGGCGGCCAGAUAGGUCAGCUGUGAAAACUCGAGGCUCAACCUCGAGACGCCGGUUGAAACCAUUUGGCUAGAGUCCGGAAGAGGAGAGUGGAAUUCCUGGUGUAGCAGUGAAAUGCGUAGAUAUCAAGUGGAACACCAGUGGCGAAGGCGAGUCUCUGGACAUUUCCUGACGCUGAGGCACGAAAGCCAGGGGAGCAAACGGG